rnacentral:lncRNA from 1 species
AAACAUUCCACCAUUGUGACUGGUCCCUGCCCUACCUUAACUGAUCAACCAUCCUUGUGACAUUCUUCUUCUGGACAAUAAGUCUUAUGAUCUCCCCAUCAUGUACCUUGUGACCCCCUCCCCUGCUAACAAUAGAUAACAACCACCUUUUACUGUAAUUUUCCAUUACCUACCUAAAUCCUAUAAAGCAACCCCUUCCCCAUCUCCCUUCAUUGAUUCUCUUUUCGGACUCAGCCCACUUGCACCCAAGUGAAUAAACAGCCUUGUUGCUCACACAAAGCCUGUUGGUGGUCUCUUCACACGGAUGCAUUUGACAUUUGGUGCUAUGACUUGGAUCGGGGGACCUUCCUUGGGAGAUCAAUCCCCUGUCCUCCCGCUCUUUGCUCCGUGAGGAAGAUCUACCUACGACCUCGGGUCCUCAGACCAGCCCAAGGAACAUCUCACCAAUUUUAAAUCGGUCAGCUCCUGACAUCAGAAAAAAGCUUCAAAAAUUUGAAUCUGGCCCUCAAACCCCACAACAGGAAUUAAUCAACCUCGCCUUCAAUGUGUACAAUAAUAGAGAAGAGGCAGCCAAGCAGAAACACAUUUCUGAGUUACAAUUACUUGCCUCUGCUGUGAGACAAAACCCAGCUGCACCUCCGGCACACAAGAACUUCAAAAUGCCUAAGCUGCAGUGGUCAGGCUUUCCUACAGGACCUCCUCCCUCAGGAUCUUGCUUCAAGUGCCAGAAAUCUGGCCAGUGGGCCAAGGAAUGCCUGCAGCCCAGGAUUCCUCCCAAGCCAUGUUCCAUCUGUGCAGUGACCCACUGGAAAUCAGACCGCCCAGCUCACCCGGCAGCCACUUCCAGAGCCCAGCCCCUAAAGCUCUGGCCCAAGGGUCUCUGACUGACUCCUUACCAGACCUGCUCAGCUUAGUGGCUGAAGACUGACGCUGCCCAAUCACCUUGGAAGCCCCCUGGACCAUCAUGGAUGCCAAGCUUCGGGUAACUUUCACAGUGGAGGGACUAAACCAGUGAUGAACUCCUGGCAACAUCCAGACAAGACCAAGCUUCUGUGCAACACCCCCUCCAAACGGCUGUCCAAACAUACUUCCAGGCCUGCUUCACCCGUUCCUCUAAACCAUAAUCUCUGAGGACCUGCUGUCUAUAAAAACAACUUCCUUCAGGCCUUGUCCUCCAAAAUGUUCCCCACCCCCAAAAUCAAAGACCUCUGAAUUAAAAAUCUAAAAUGCCUGGGGUGGCAGCUGUCAAAUCCUUGCCCAUGGGGUCCUCAGGCCUACUCAUAUAGAAAUGACCAGCAAUAUGCAUAUAGAGGACCAGUUCCACAUAUCUGGCACUCAGGUCAACAUCCAGGACGACACAUGGUCUGUCAUUGGUUAUUAGAAGGCCUAGGACAUUUCUCUCUUUGCCAGCCCCAACUUAUUCCAGGAGACAGGGACUAUUGUACUUACUGUCUUUCCUGUAUAGGGUCUGCAGUAAGGACUAUUGAACUCCUCCAUUCAAAACACCACUCACACCUUUGGGAAAAAAGUAACAUAAUAGACUUUUGGCUCGAUGCCAGGGGAUCCUAUUCAUAUGAUGGCAAAUGGGGACAAAAGGCCUUGGUAUAUAAAACGUUAUUCCUACCUUGGCCUAAAAACUCACUGCCACCUACCUUAAAGCUAUUAUGCUUAAUUGCUAUUUUUAGAUAAUUUAUUCUACUAGGAGAAUUCCAAGCUCAAAAAUAUGCUAACUGGUGCCUUGUUAGCCACACAAAAUUGUACCCGAAAACUUUCUAGACCAACUCACUAUAAAAUUAAAUUUUCUUUAGGUGUCCAUGCUGCCCCUAAGUCAUGCCUGAAGCAGCCCUGAGAAACAUCGCCCCUGCCCCAAUAAUCCCCAGUAAAAACUUAUAUUUUCUUUAUCUUUUCUUAUAACUUUAUAUUUUAUAAAUAAAAAGACAGGAAUGUCAGGCCUCUGCGCCGAAGCUCAGCCAUUGUAACCCCUGUGACUUGCACAUAUGUGUCCAGAUGGCCUGCAGGAGCCAAGAAGUCUGGGGCAGCUGAAAAACCACAAAAGAAGUAAAACAGCCAGUUCCUGCCUUAACAGAUUAACCAACAUUCCACCAUUCCACCAUUGUGACUGGUCCCUGCCCUACCUUAAUGGAUCGAUUGACCUUGUGACAUUCUUCUUCUGGACAAUGAGUCUUAUGAUCUCCCUACCAUGUACCUUGUGACCCCCCUCCUCUGCUAACAAUAGAUAACCACCUUUUAGUGUAAUUUUCCAUUACCUACCCAACUCCUAUAGGGCAACCCCUUCCCCAUCUCCCUUCGCUGACUCUCUUUUCAGACUCAGCCCACUUGCACCCAAGUGAAUAAACAGCCUUGUUGCUCACACAAAGCCUGUUGGUGGCGUCUUCACACAGACAUGCGUGACAUCUGCUCACCCACCUCUAAUACUGCAGAUUGAACAGUUCCCUUUGGAAAGCCCUUCCUGAUGUUGAGCUAAAAUGUCUUCCUGUCAUGUCCAUUCAUUAGUAGAAUAAACAUUUUAUCCAAAUGAGGCUGAUUAAACCAGAGGUUUAUGCAAAGGUGUAUGCAUCAAAGAUAGUGAUUUCCUGAGUGGAAGAAUUAAAUACCAGCUAAGAGUGAUUACAUAAAGCAUGGACCUUUUAUCUCUAUAGAAAAAACGCUACCUGACAAUAUUUCAAGUUAGAAUUUUGCUUUUCUUUUUCUCAAGUCAGGGUCUCAUUCUGUCACACAGACUGGAGUGCAGUGGUGCGAUCAUGCUGGCUAAUUUUUAAAUUUUUUGUAGACAGGGUCUGCUAUGUUGCCCAGGUUGGUCUAGAGCUCCUGGGCUCAAGGGAUCCUCCUACCUUGGCCUCCCAAAGUGCUGGGAUUACAGGCAUGAGGCACCUCGCCCAGCCCAAAUUAGGAUUUUUCUGGAGUGUAUAUUAGCACUUUCCUGAAAGGCAGCAAAUGUUUCAAAAGUUCACACCCUUUAACUCAAUAAUUACACAUCUAGGAAUCUUAUUCUCUGAAAAUAGUAUAGCAUGGAAAACGUUUUUUGCACAAAUUUUUGUUUUUUUAACCACAGUGUUUCUUUUAAAAUGUUAUUAAAAGAAUAAAAACAACCAAAAAUGUUCCUCAGAAGCAAUAUGUAAAUUCUGAAUACCAGAUAAACUACUAGGCAAGCAUCUAAAAUAAAGUUUACAGAUUUUCUUAAAACAUGAUGAAAUACUUGUGUAUUCAAUGGAUAUUCCAAGGCUCAGCUUCUAUAAAAAAAAUCUAACUCUGAGUAAGGGGAUCCAUAACAG